ACCCGCCUCCCUCCACCUCCUUUCAGCUCCUAAAACCCCUUAAACCCCGCGCUCUCUCUAUCUCUCUCUCUCUCUCUCUCUGUAAUGGCUCUUCCCGUUCAAUUCUUCUCCCCUCUAUCCUACCCUCCGUGCCGUCCCUUCAUCUCUCUACGCCGCUUCACGACGCUGAAACUUACGGCCAUCGGCCCCGAUGGAAAGUUCCGCCCGCUCUCCUCGGAUGAAGAUCCUCCGGAGGCCCCAGAGGAUUCCUCCCAUGGCGUCUCCCGCAUGGAGCAGUUCCGUAUUCAGGUCGCCGCUGCCCGCCGCCGGCAGGAGGAGCAGUUCGAGAAGGACAAGCACCGAUUUGUCUCCGCAUUUGCCCUUGAAGAAGAUCCACCUUCAAACUCCGACGCGGACUCCCAAUCAUCCUCCGGUGACGAUCCUUUUGUUGAUAUCGACCGCGCCAUCGCCCUCAAGCGACAGGAAUUCGUCAAACAGGGCCUCCUGCCUCCCAAUCCCCCGAAAAAUGAGAAUAAGGUUCCUCCCCUUGAUUCCAUUGACGAACUUUUGCCCGAAGAGGUCAUCGAUCUUGAGGAGAUCGAGGAGCUUCACGGGCUUACUUUAAUAUCCAACGAUGAGGUCCAUGAAGAUCAUCCCAUCAAAAUGGCAGAGAAGGAAGAGAAGGCAGAUGAUGUAGUUUCUAGUUCAUCCUCAUUUGAGCUGGAUCUUGAAAGUUUGGGCAAGUCCAAGAGCCAGAUAUUGGAACCUAAAUUCAGGAUGACGCUUGCCGAGCUCUUGGAUGAGAGCCGGAUUGUGCCAUUGUCUGUUUAUGGAAAUUUGGAUGUGCUGAUCGCUGGAAUUCAGCAUGAUCCCAGAGAAGUUAGCUCUGGUGAUCUCUUUAUUUGCUGUGACCGAGGGAGCGCGGAUGGACAAGAUUAUUUAACGGAAGCAGAUAAGAGAGGGGCAGUUGCUGUGGUAGCUGAUAAGGUGAUAAAUUUAGACGAGACAAUAGGGUGCAAGGCUCUUGUUGUUGUGGAGGAAACCGAUUUUGUGCUGCCAGUUCUUGCUGCUUCCUUCUUCCGUAAUCCUUCCAGGACAUUGUCGGUGAUUGGCGUUACUGGUACGCGCGGUAAAACCUCAACAUCAUUCUUAAUAAAAGCGAUGUAUGAGGCUAUGGGGUUGAGGACCGGAAUGAUGGGUUCUUUAGGGCAUUACAUCCAUGGGGAUAACAAAUUGGAGGCUUCCGAUUCGACUCCCGAUGCUGUUACUGCUCAGAAAUUGAUGGCAAAGAUGGUCCAUAAUGGCACAGAGGCGGUAAUCCUGGAGGCUUCUUCUUAUGGUUUGGCUGAAGGAAGAUGUGAUGAAGUAGAUUUUGAUAUUGCCGUAUUCACGAAUCUGACGAGAGAUUUACAUGGAUUCAAUGGAACCGAGGAGCAGUACAGGAACAGCAUGGCAAAGCUGUUUGAGAGGAUGAUCGAUCCUGAACGACACCGGAAGGUUGUGAACAUCGAUGAUCCCAAUGCUUCGUAUUUCAUCUCAAAGGGGAAUCCGAAUGUUCCUGUUGUGACGUAUGCCAUGGAGGACAAGAAUGCUGCUGUGUAUCCUUUGAAAUUUGAGCUGUCACUGUUCGAAACACAGGUUUUGAUUCAAACUCCAAUAGGGAUCCUUGAAAUAUCAUCAGGGUUGCUCGGACGGCAUAAUAUAUCCAAUAUUCUUGCAGCUGUUGCAGUUGGUAUUGCUGUUGGUUCACCAUUAGAGGACAUUGUUAGAGGGAUUGAGGAAGUGGAUGCUGUUCCUGGAAGAUGCGAGUUGAUAGAUGAGGAGCAAGCGUUUGGUGUGAUUGUGGAUCAUGCUCGAACACCAGAUGCUUUUUCUAGGCUUUUGGAUACUGCAAGGGAGCUGGGACCAAGGAGAAUUAUCACUGUUAUUGGUUGUUGUGGUGAAGGAGAAAGAGGCAAAAGGCCAGUUAUGACAAAAAUUGCAACCGAUAGAAGUGAUGUAGUUAUGUUGACCUCUGACAAUCCAAAGAAUGAAGAUCCACUUGAUAUUUUGGAUGACAUGUUGUCUGGUGUUGGAUGGAGUAUGCAAGAUUAUUUGAAAUAUGGCGAAAAUGAUUACUACCCGCCUCUACCUAAUGGCCACAGGCUUUUCUUACAUGAUAUUCGGAGAGUAGCUGUCCGGGCUGCUGUUGCUAUGGGUGAGGAGGGUGAUAUAGUUGUUGUUGCUGGCAAGGGUGAUGAGACAUAUCAAAUAGAAGGUGACAAGAAAGAUUUCUUUGAUGAUAGAGAAGAAUGUAGAGAAGCAUUGCAUUAUGUUGAUGAAUUGCAUCAAGCUGGGAUAGACACAAGUGAAUUCCCUUGGAGGUUGCCAGAAAGCCAUUGAUGGUUCAUUUGAAGAAACUUUAGGCUUUGUACAUAUUCAAUGUAUAGACGAUCAGUUCUCAUUAGCUCUCCGUUCUUCUCAAAAAAAAAAGCAAAUCAGAAAUUAGGAGGGGGAGAAAAAGGUAGCCAAACUCAAAUUAGUUGAAGCUCGACGCUUUUUCAUUCCUAUCGUAAUUUGCCCUAAUAGAGACUAUUCAUGGAAAAGAAACGACUCAACUCGACGAGCACAUAGUAAGUAGCUAAUGACUCAAACUUGACUCGAAUUAUCUUUUACAAGUAUUUUUAACUAUUAACCCUCUAACAUAUUUUGGUAUAAUUUAAGAAUUGUUGAGUGCUAGUGUUCUAACUUUUUGACUAUUUAUAUUGCUCCUUAAGAUGGUUGCAAUUUUGAAUGUUAUUUAGGCUUCAAAUGUCA